GAUGAACGCUAGCUACAGGCUUAACACAUGCAAGUCGAGGGGAAACGAUAUUGGAAGCUUGCUUCUGAUAGGCGUCGACCGGCGCACGGGUGAGUAACGCGUAUCCAACCUGCCCAUCACUUGGGGAUAACCUUGCGAAAGUAAGACUAAUACCCAAUGACGUCUCUAGAAGACAUCUGAAAGAGAUUAAAGAUUUAUCGGUGAUGGAUGGGGAUGCGUCUGAUUAGCUUGUUGGCGGGGUAACGGCCCACCAAGGCGACGAUCAGUAGGGGUUCUGAGAGGAAGGUCCCCCACAUUGGAACUGAGACACGGUCCAAACUCCUACGGGAGGCAGCAGUGAGGAAUAUUGGUCAAUGGACGAGAGUCUGAACCAGCCAAGUAGCGUGCAGGAUGACGGCCCUAUGGGUUGUAAACUGCUUUUAUAAGGGAAUAAAGUGAGUCUCGUGAGACUUUUUGCAUGUACCUUAUGAAUAAGGACCGGCUAAUUCCGUGCCAGCA
rnacentral:rRNA from 1 species